rnacentral:rRNA from 1 species
UACGAAGGGGGACUAGCGUUGUUCGGAUUUACUGGGCGUAAAGCGCGCGUAGGCGGAUAUUUAAGUCAGGGGUGAAAUCCCAGGGCUCAACCCUGGAACUGCCUUUGAUACUGGAUGUCUGGAGAUCGGGAGAGGUUGGUGGAAUUCCGAGUGUAGAGGUGAAAUUCGUAGAUAUUCGGAGGAACACCAGAAGCGAAGGCGGCCAACUGGCCCGAUACUGACGCUGAGGCGCGAAAGCGUGGGGAGCAAACAGG